rnacentral:lncRNA from 1 species
UGAAAGUUUCAUGUAGGAUUUCUUAUGUAGAAAUGAAGAAAAGAAAGCUAAACCUAUAAGAGAUUUGUGAUUUCAUUUAUGCACAAUAUUAUUUUUCUUUGAAUAGGGAAAUGCUUGUUUUAUUUAGUUUUGUAAAAUUUGGAAUUAAAAAAUUAAAAUAAAAUGUUGGAGAGGGGGAGAAUAAGAGACAGAGGCAGAGAUUAAUACUGUGUGAUUGAAUUUUCUUCUCAUCCUUUCUGCAAUGUUCUUGGCCUAGACUAUAGUUGCUAAGCAUAGUAUUCUUUGUAAUAUUAUUCAUUAGGCAAAGGAUUGGUUAUCAAAGUGUAGUGCUGGGACUCCUGGAAUACCUGAGACUUUUACACGGAAGUCUAUAAAGUCAAAACUAUUUUCAUAAUAAUCCUGACUUAUUCUAAUAUGUUUGGAGAAUCACAAGGACAUUGACAAACUAUGGUGCACGCAGAAGAGGUGUACCAAGAUGAUGAAAGACUGGAAAUCACACCCUUGGGACAGAUUAAAGGAACCAGGGAUGUUUAACCUGGAGAAAUGAAAACAUAUGGGGCAUGAGUCCUAAUAGAAAAAUGCGAAGGAAUGUGCACUUGGGAGGAGAAAGACCAGGAAGAAAAAGGGGGAUGGAAAGAGGAAGAAGGAGGAGUUGUGGAGUGAAGAGAAAGGAGACCUAAGAAGAAGAAAAGGACAGUUUUCUGCUCCUCUGAUCACUAGGGAGAGAGAGGCUGAACCGAGAAAAGGCACUCCAAAUCCAGACUGGGAAGCCAACGCUCCUCCUCCAACACCAGGAAGGAAGUCAGGAAAGGAAGGCAGGAAGGAAGUGCUAGUCACAAGACCCAACUGCCACUCCCAGUUGCCCCUUCCCCCACCAACUGAGUUUGCUGAGAAGAGGAAGAAAAAUAUUUAG